AGGACGAACGCUGGCGGCGUGCUUAACACGUGCAAGUCGAGCGGAAAGGCCCUUCGGGGUACUCGAGCGGCGAACGGGUGAGUAACACGUGAGUAAUCUGCCCUUAGCUCUGGGAUAGCUCCGGGAAACCGGGAUUAAUACCAGAUACGACCACUUUAGACAUCUGCCGUGGUGGAAAGAAUUUCGGCUAAGGAUGAGCUCGCGGCCUAUCAGCUUGUUGGUGGGGUAACGGCCUACCAAGGCGACGACGGGUAGCCGGCCUGAGAGGGCGACCGGCCACACUGGGACUGAGACACGGCCCAGACUCCUACGGGAGGCAGCAGUGGGGAAUAUUGCGCAAUGGGCGAAAGCCUGACGCAGCGACGCCGCGUGGGGGAUGAAGGCCUUCGGGUUGUAAACCCCUUUCAGCAGGGACGAAGCGAAAGUGACGGUACCUGCAGAAGAAGCGCCGGCUAACUACGUGCCAGCAGCCGC
rnacentral:rRNA from 1 species